rnacentral:rRNA from 1 species
GCCAGACUCCUACGGGAGGCAGCAGUGGGGAAUAUUGGGCAAUGGGCGAAAGCCUGACCCAGCAACGCCGCGUGAAGGAAGAAGGCUUUCGGGUUGUAAACUUCUUUUGACAGGGAAGAGCAGAAGACGGUACCUGUCGAAUAAGCCACGGCUAACUACGUGCCAGCAGCCGCGGUAAUACGUAGGGGGCAAGCGUUAUCCGGAUUUACUGGGUGUAAAGGGAGCGUAGACGGCAUGGCAAGUCAGAUGUGAAAGCCCGGGGCUCAACCCCGGGACUGCAUUUGAAACUGUCAGGCUGGAGUGCAGGAGAGGUAAGUGGAAUUCCUAGUGUAGCGGUGAAAUGCGUAGAUAUUAGGAGGAACACCAGUGGCGAAGGCGGCUUACUGGACUGUAACUGACGUUGAGGCUCGAAAGCGUGGGGAGCAAACAGGAUUAGAUACCCUUGUAA